UACGUAGGGGGCAAGCGUUGUCCGGAUUUAUUGGGCGUAAAGAGCGUGUAGGCGGUCCGGUAAGUCAGCUGUGAAAGUCAAGGGCUCAACCCUUGAAAGCCGGUUGAUACUGUCGGGCUAGAGUCCGGAAGAGGCGAGUGGAAUUCCUGGUGUAGCGGUGAAAUGCGCAGAUAUCAGGAGGAACACCAAUGGCGAAGGCAGCUCGCUGGGACGGUACUGACGCUGAGACGCGAAAGCGUGGGGAGCAAACAGG
rnacentral:rRNA from 1 species